rfam:Gossypium arboreum cultivar AKA8401 contig_21262_3, whole genome shotgun sequence.
AACCCAUGGUGAGGGCACCUUCUUAAUAAGUCCUUAUACCUCUCCCAUGCAUCAUAUAAAGUCUCAAGAUCCAUCUAUACGAAGGAAGAGAUAUCAUUCCUCAAUUU